rnacentral:rRNA from 1 species
CAGUCGCCGCGGUAAUACGAAGGGUGCAAGCGUUGUCCGGAAUUAUUGGGCGUAAAGGGCUCGCAGGCGGUUUCUUAAGUCUGAUGUGAAAGCCCCCGGCUCAACCGGGGAGGGUCAUUGGAAACUGGGAAACUCGAGUGCAGAAGAGGAGAGUGGAAUUCCACGUGUAGCGGUGAAAUGCGUAGAGAUGUGGAGGAACACCAGUGGCGAAGGCGACUCUCUGGUCUGUAACUGACGCUGAGGAGCGAAAGCGUGGGGAGCGAACAGGAUUAGAUACCCCAGUAGUCCCUGUCUCUUAUAC